ACAGCGGCCAGAGAACAUAGCCACUCCUUCAACCGAGUUAGACUCCAGCAACGCCCAACUCACAACAAGGCGUCUUCAGGUACAGGUUUACCACUGCAAUAGCCCAAGGCGGUCAGCGCACACAACAAGAAUCCACCACCGCUGCUGUGGUCGGGCUCGUUUGGGUAGUGGAGGGUUCGAGGAACGCAUACGCGGCACCUGCCUGGACUCAACAGACUACUGAGAGGGGGGUGUACUAUGUCCUAUAUAAGCACGAGCGCGAGUUAUCUGCGUCAGGCACACUCAUCAGACUCCUGCAGCAGACAUUGGACCAGCAACACCUCAGCCGUGCUUCCGAGCUUGUGGACUUGGCCCCCGCACUGGGCUGUUUGCGAGACUGUCUCGGCUGGAUCUGUCAGUUUAGGUCCACUUUGUGGACUUCUGUUGACUUCUGACGGACUUUCUGAUGUUAUGGAGACGGUCCUGUGGAUUUAGUCUACACUGAUGGAGAUUCUGUCCCACUUUGUGGACUAUUUCUCGCGACUAAAUAUGGACUUUGUUUUUUCGCCCAGAGUGACUCUGAGUACGAAACUAAACCCUGAAGGGCUGCCAUUUAGGGCAGUCGCAUGAAGGGAACCCGUAGACGGGUUGGUCAAAGGAAGACCAGUGUUAUGGCCAUAGGGCAGCUGGUAGCCAUGUCAAAUACCUGUAAGGGGAAUCUGACUGGACUUGGGUUUUUAUUCCUUGCAGAUGUAGGCACUAUGCAGAUAUGGCCAGAAUAAAAACAAAGUGUAAGACCAACACAAAAGAUAGAAAGUUAAAACUAAUUGAGAUUUUGUGCAGCAAUAACAUUGAGAUCGGCAGAAAUAACUGGAAAUGAUUGUUUCGCGGUACUGACAAUUAAUGAACAACAUGCUGACUCCAUAUUCAGAGCAGAUGUCAAGCAUGCACUUGCUACAAAUGAUUUUACACCUGUAAUGCAACCAGAAUUAAAAGCUAAAAAGAGUGUAAUAAUCCCAAGAGUAGAUGACCUCAUCUAUGAAUGAAGUUCUGUGGAAAUUAGGGAGUAAAUUACAAAUAAAAUGUAAUAAUCCCAAGAGUAGAUGACCUUAUCUAUGAAUGAAGUCCUGUGGAAAUUAGGGAGGAAAUUACAAAUAAAAUCUUAUGUAUAGGUGAAGAAGGACUGAAAGGAGUAUAUAGGUUACCAAACUCCCCCACCAUCAAACUGACUUUUACUCAAAUACAACUAGCUAAAAGAUGUACAGAGACAGGACUUAAGGCCUUCAGCAUCAACAUUCCCUCACAUGAAAUUAAGCUAGAAAUUUGCAUACCAUGAUGAGCAUGAGGUGCUAUGCCCUCGAAGAACAUUUUACAAAUUAAUGCCCAAGGACUAAAGAAUUUAUAAUAUGCUCUGAGUGUAGUAUAGAAGGCCACGUAUGACACAAAUGCAAGGAGGCUUAUAAAAAAUGCCUGAAUUGUGGAGACAAUCACAGCACUCUUGCUUUGAUAUGUAUUAAAAGAAAUGAGGUUCUCAAAGAAAAACGAAUCCAAGAACAAGAGAGACAAAAAAUGACAUACUCUAACAUUAC